GUGCUUGCUUCGAUAGCACAUAUACUAAAAUCGGAAUAACAGAGAGAAGAUUAUUAGUUUGGCCCCUGUACAAGGAUGACAUGCAAAUUUGUGAAGCAUUCCAUAUUUUU
ensembl:snRNA U6 U6 spliceosomal RNA